AGACGGGAAGCAGAGAGCUCAUACAAGACACAAGCCACCACCGUGACCAGAAAGCCCACGUGAAGAACAUGAACCCUGCUGCCAGACACGCUGUUACGAUAUGAAGAAACUUGUCAAGAAAACAAAAACAAAACAAAAGUUACAAGUAUUAGAGAGUAGCUGUGGGGACAAAUGAUUAUUAAUGAGUAUAAAAUAAUCUUCCUUAAGAAGCAAUUUUAUAGAUGCAUUCUCAUGCCUAAAUACCAUCCUCCAAUGAAAUGUUUCAACUAAGAAAACCCAGCAGCUCUCCCUAUGCUUCCAAUAUUUCUUGAGACUGCAGCAGCGACUGGUUCUGACGUAGCUGUGGUGACACUUCUGUCCAAACCUGAGAGUGUUGCAAUAAAUGUUAUAACACA